rnacentral:rRNA from 1 species
ACGUGUAGAGCUAGCGUUGCUCGGAUUCACUGGGCUUAAAGGGUGCGUAGGCGGCUUAGUAAGUAAGGUGUGAAAUCCUGCGGCUUACCCGUAGAAUUGCAUCUUAUACUGCUUUGCUAGAGUGUCGAAGAGGUUAGCGGAAUUCUGGGUGUAGCGGUGAAAUGCUUAGAUAUCCAGGAGAACGCCGGUGACGAAGGUGGCUAACUGGUCGAUAACUGACGCUGAGGCACGAAAGCCAGGGGAGCAAACGG